UAUCACACUCCGAUGGGUUUUGAUGGCGAUGGUAAUAUGCGACUGUAGGAGGAGGAGGAGGCUUAUGAGAUUGAUGUGGAGGAAUUGGAGAAUGUGUUGUCUCUUCAAAGUGGUGUUGAUGGGUCUUUGGAGUCAAGUCUUAAUGGCAUGAAGAGUUUGUGGAGAAAGUGCUUGAAGCCCCACUUCUCUUUGGUGAGCAUGUCAUGAGGUUUUUCAAAUGAGCUACGAAGAAGCAGGUUUAAGGUUAUGAUUCGUUUUGUUGAUUUCUUCGUGCAAGCAAUUUGUAGUGAUCUUAGGGGGAAAAAAAAGAAAAAAAAAAGAACAUUCGUAUGGAUUGUGGGAUUUGGUGACAGAGAUUCGUAAGAAGUAUGGGUCGAGGCUAAACCGGGGCGGAGCCAAGAAUUUUUGCGAGGGGGGCGAAAAGUUUGCAAAGGUUCGGGGAAUCCGUUUGGCGAGGGAAAGUCGUGUGGAAGGAGGUAGGGAGUCGUGCGCGUGGGUAUUAUCCGAUUUGAUAAGUGAUACUUCCUCUGAAAUUCUGCUAUUUUUUACCGUUUCUAACAUCUGGACUGCAGUUGUGUCGAUCUAUGUUCCCUUCUCUUUCGUAUUGUUGAAUUGAAUUGAAACAUAGGGGCACCACUACACACAAAGGCUGAAGCUACAGAGCUGAAGAAAGUGGAUAAAUAGAAGCAAAAGUGGUGGGGAACGAAAGUUUGCCCUGAAAUCUAUUGUGGCAGAGAUUGACACUAAAAUACUUGAACUAGGUUUUGUCGGAGUGUAGGCUAUUUGCUACAAGGUUAGCAUUUCAUGUUACCUCUAUUCCAAAGAUCGAUUGUUUGGACUAUAUGAAUGCUCCUGAACAUAUUACUCAGGCCACAUUUAAUGUUUCCUUGCUGGGCAUGAUCAAAACAUUGAUUUGAGAAUGGAAUAUUGGUCUUGAGGGCAAUAUGGACUUGAAUCUUGAGUUAAUUAGGUAUUGUACUAAGUACCCUCUAUUUGAAUGAUAUGAUUUUGAUCAAUCUAUGUUGGGUAAGCAAGACAUGAGAAUUUAUAUCACCAAUUACCAAUUUUCCG